rnacentral:rRNA from 1 species
AGUGAACGCUGGCGGUAGGCCUAACACAUGCAAGUCGAACGGCAGCACAGUAAGAGCUUGCUCUUACGGGUGGCGAGUGGCGGACGGGUGAGGAAUACAUCGGAAUCUACUUUUUCGUGGGGGAUAACGUAGGGAAACUUACGCUAAUACCGCAUACGACCUACGGGUGAAAGCAGGGGAUCUUCGGACCUUGCGCGAUUGAAUGAGCCGAUGUCGGAUUAGCUAGUUGGCGGGGUAAAGGCCCACCAAGGCGACGAUCCGUAGCUGGUCUGAGAGGAUGAUCAGCCACACUGGAACUGAGACACGGUCCAGACUCCUACGGGAGGCAGCAGUGGGGAAUAUUGGACAAUGGGCGCAAGCCUGAUCCAGCCAUGCCGCGUGGGUGAAGAAGGCCUUCGGGUUGUAAAGCCCUUUUGUUUGGAAAGAAAAGCAGCAGGUUAAUACCCCGCUGUUCUGACGGUACCCAAAGAAUAAGCACCGGCUAACUUCGUG